AGAGUUUGAUCAUGGCUCAGGACGAACGCUGGCGGCGUGCUUAACACAUGCAAGUCGAACGGAAAGGCCCAGCUUGCUGGGUACUCGAGUGGCGAACGGGUGAGUAACACGUGGGUGAUCUGCCCUGCACUCUGGGAUAAGCCUGGGAAACUGGGUCUAAUACCGGAUAUGACCAACUGUCGCAUGGUGGUUGGUGGAAAGCUUUUGCGGUGUGGGAUGGGCCCGCGGCCUAUCAGCUUGUUGGUGGGGUAAUGGCCUACCAAGGCGACGACGGGUAGCCGACCUGAGAGGGUGAUCGGCCACACUGGGACUGAGACACGGCCCAGACUCCUACGGGAGGCAGCAGUGGGGAAUAUUGCACAAUGGGCGCAAGCCUGAUGCAGCGACGCCGCGUGAGGGAUGACGGCCUUCGGGUUGUAAACCUCUUUCACCAGGGACGAAGCGUGAGUGACGGUAC
rnacentral:rRNA from 1 species